AACGUAGGAGGCGAGCGUUAUCCGGAUUUACUGGGCGUAAAGGAUGCGUAGGCGGACAUUUAAGUCAGAUGUGAAAUACCCGAGCUUAACUUGGGUGCUGCAUUUGAAACUGGGUGUCUAGAGUGCAGGAGAGGUAAGUGGAAUUCCUAGUGUAGCGGUGAAAUGCGUAGAGAUUAGGAAGAACACCAGUGGCGAAGGCGACUUACUGGACUGUAACUGACGCUGAGGCAUGAAAGCGUGGGGAGCAAACAGG
rnacentral:rRNA from 1 species